GAUGAACGCUGGCGGCGUGCCUAAUACAUGCAAGUCGAGCGAACAGACGAGGAGCUUGCUCCUUUGACGUUAGCGGCGGACGGGUGAGUAACACGUGGGUACCUACCUAUAAGACUGGGAUAACUUCGGGAAACCGGAGCUAAUACCGGAUAAUAUUUCGAACCGCAUGGUUCGAUAGUGAAAGAUGGCUUUGCUAUCACUUAUAGAUGGACCUGCGCCGUAUUAGCUAGUUGGUAAGGUAACGGCUUACCAAGGCAACGAUACGUAGCCGACCUGAGAGGGUGAUCGGCCACACUGGAACUGAGACACGGUCCAGACUCCUACGGGAGGCAGCAGUAGGGAAUCUUCCGCAAUGGGCGAAAGCCUGGCGGAGCAACGCCGCGUGAGUGAUGAAGGUCUUCGGAUCGUAAAACUCUGUUAUUAGGGAAGAACAAACGUGUAAGUAACUGUGCACGUCUUGACGGUACCUAAUCAGAAAGCCACGGCUAACUACGUG
rnacentral:rRNA from 1 species